rnacentral:sRNA from 1 species
ACUGAGCCUACGUCAUCAUCCCGAGUUUCUGAAGACCACAGCAUAUUGAAAAAAAGAAAAUGUACUCAUUUUUGGCUGUCACAACUAUAUAUUAUUUUUAAAAGUAAAUAUUCAUUUAGUUAGAUUAAGAAUUAGAAACAACUCAUUAUAAGAAAAUGUGGACUUAUAAUAUGUUUUUAAUUUUAAUACUGUAGUCACUAAAAUGUGAAAUUGAUGAGACCCAAAUAUCCAGAUGAAAAGAAACCAGCCAUCUGAAUGUUUUUGUCUGUAUAAUACUUACAUCUAGAUAGACCCAGAUGAUUGAUAACAUUCACAAUUUUCUGUGAAAUAUUGAAUUUUUUUGCUAAUCAUGUUUCUUUAGAAUUGUUUUUAAUUAUGUGCUUAUGAUUGAGAGUACAAAAUUCCAAAAGCAUAUGAAAAUUAACAUUGGCCAGCCACGUGUUGUGGCUCACUUGUGUUAUCCCAGCACUUUGGGAGACUGAGGUGAGAGGAUUGCGUGAGCCCAGAAGUUCAAGACCAGCCUGGGCAACAUAGCAAGACUCUG